AUCAGAGGUGAUAGCACGUUGAGAUUACCAGUUGCCAAUGGAUCACUGGAGUCAACCAACGUUGCGCGUGGUCGGUAUCUGGAAUUCUGGAUGGAUGGCCGUCUGGGUAAUCGCGUACUGCUGUCU
rnacentral:rRNA from 1 species